CACACUCUGUCACUCUCCCUCAGGAAUAAAUAAACAUUGAAUACAAACAUGUUACACCUCUGAUCUUAGUUCCCAGAGACCACUAAAGCAGCUUGAUGCGGGGCUCGAACCCACCACCCAUGAGAUCAUGAGUCGGACGCUCAACAUACUGAGCCAGCCAGGCGCUCCAGUGAAGGGGGAAAGUGCGCGUCAAACAUCUCUUCAUCUUACUGACAAACAAGCUACUAAGAAGGCAAAUAUUUGUCGAAACCAACGCCCAGUGGGUCAGAGCAGUGUUCCUGCUGAUGGCCAGGGUUAAAGACAAAGAGAAAGGAAAGAAGAGAGCUGUUGUCAUCGCGAAGCUUUUCCAAAAAAGCUGCAAUCAGCCCAGAGGUCUUCAGUGGGUGAAUGGUUAAACAGCGGUAUAUCCACACUAUGGAACAUCCUUCAGCAAUAAAAAGGACCAAACUAUUAACAACAAACCGAGCGAAUCUCCAGGAAAAUGUGCUGAGCGAGAAAAGCCAAUCCCCCAAAACGUGAUUCUACAUCCACGACAUUUUCAAAGUAACAAAAAUUUUGAAGUAAAUAAAUACAGUAACAAAAUGUUGUGAA